rnacentral:misc_RNA from 1 species
UGGUCUUGACAUCCCAGGAACCCUGCAGAGAUGCGGGGGUGCCUUCGGGAACCUGGAGACAGGUGCUGCAUGGCUGUCGUCAGCUCGUGUCGUGAGAUGUUGGGUUAAGUCCCGCAACGAGCGCAACCCUUGUCCGUAGUUGCCACCAUUCAGUUGGGCACUCUACGGAGACCGCCGGUGACAAAUCGGAGGAAGGUGGGGAUGACGUGACGCAACUAACCA